GGGGAUGUACAGGUUUUGACAGAGGAUUUCUUCGGUCAGAUAUCUUAAGCUCGGCGGUUGCACCGUCCCGUCGUUAUAAGAGUUCGGUGCAAAACCAAAUGCAAGCGAAAAUCUUGCCGCAACGCUUUACAGAGCUUUUGCUCCUGUCAGAGUAGCUGCGUAGAUGUUUCGGCCAUCGUGCCGGAACCCGUUCUUUGGCCCGAUGUCUCAUGAGGUCAAAAGAAUGUCAUUUAUGGGGCACGGCGUGUAAAUUUGGAGUUUUAUUUACUCGCUUAAAAUUUAAAACCAACCUUUUGCGGUUUUUGGCCGGUUCUUUAUCGCAAAUCGUUAAACAGAGCCGGUUAUGGCUUUAAACGGUAUUUGCCGGACCUUUGGACGCGGGUUCGAUUCCCGCCAUCUCCACCA
rnacentral:tmRNA from 4 species